UCAAGAGAGUCAUUGAAUCCUGAAAAGCAUUCAGGUGAGGACUGGAAUUUUUUAUUGUUCAAAAAGAAUAAUCCAUUGAAAUUUUCUGAGGCUAGAAUUGCCUAUCUCCCUUCUCUUAUUUCUUCAUUAGAUGAAUCAUCACUUUGCCCAAAUUUCAACCUUUUAAGUACAUUUACUGAUUUUUGUUUUAUUUUUGAGAUAAGACCUCAAUUUGGCAGCUCAGGCUGGCCUAGACUUCUCAGCUAUCCUCCCUCCCUUGGAGUCCCAAGUGCUGGGAUUACAGGCGUGGGCCACCACUCCCGGCUUGGCUUUGCUUUAUUUUGAAGUGAUUGUACAGCCUUCCUCACUCUUGUCUAUCUGUUGCAAGCAAUGUAAUUUCUGGAAGAUAAAGGUCUAGUUUAGGCUUCUAAAUUACCUGGCUAAAAACCUAACUCUAUACUAAUGAAAUUUCAUUUGAAUUUAAAAGAGAAAGAACGCUUGCCCUGAGAGCAAAGAGAAACAGGUUUGAGGACUUACGGAUUAUCUUUGGGAAGAGAAACCCUUUUUUAUGAUAUUACUCAAGGUUUACCCUAGCCUCGCUGUGCAGAACAUUCAUGUUAGUAAAGCCCAGAGACGCCUAAAAUCACGUUCCACCUCACCCCUAGAAACCCAGCGGAGUUAAUAAAUACUAAAGUAGCUUUCUUGCCAGACAAGAAGAAAUAUAGAUAGCCACCAUCUUGGUUGUGGCUAGACGCAGACAGCUGGUUGGCGUCACUCAGCCCUUUUGCGCAAGCGUAGGAAGAGCACAUUCCCCCUCCCUUCCUGUGCACGCAGUCGGAGCCUGUAACUCUCGCGAGAGAAGCGAGAUUUAUUCCUACGUACCGGGCCGUGCUGCUUAUGGCGGCGCUGGAGAGGGGGCGCUGAGCUGUUGGGUAUGAAGUGUAACAGAACAGACUUUACCACCU